rnacentral:rRNA from 1 species
GACGAACGCUGGCGGCGUGCUUAACACAUGCAAGUCGAACGGAAAGGCCCUGCUUUUGUGGGGUGCUCGAGUGGCGAACGGGUGAGUAACACGUGAGUAACCUGCCCUUGACUUUGGGAUAACUUCAGGAAACUGGGGCUUAUACCGGAUAGGAGCUCCUGCUGCAUGGUGGGGGUUGGAAAGUUUCGGCGGUUGGGGAUGGACUCGCGGCUUAUCAGCUUGUUGGUGGGGUAGUGGCUUACCAAGGCUUUGACGGGUAGCCGGCCUGAGAGGGUGACCGGCCACAUUGGGACUGAGAUACGGCCCAGACUCCUACGGGAGGCAGCAGUGGGGAAUAUUGCACAAUGGGCGGAAGCCUGAUGCAGCAACGCCGCGUGCGGGAUGACGGCCUUCGGGUUGUAAACCGCUUUCGCCUGUGACGAAGCGUGAGUGACGGUAAUGGGUAAAGAAGCACCGGCUAACUACGUG